GGACAAUCUAGAAUCAUAUUAAUGGAGCUGACUGAGAUAGCCUGGACUAUACAAAAUUAAAAAUACUACUUUGAAUGGAGAACCAAUGACAUGUAGAAUAUGAGAGAAACAGUUUCUCUUAUGUCUGCUCUGAAGGAGAAAUUUCAAAACGCUAAUAUAAAGUUAAUGUAGGCCCAAGAUGUAAAUGACCUUAAAGAAAACAUAUUUAAAAUCUCAUGUUGUAGUUAAUAAGAGCCUAUUUGUUUUGCAUUCCAGGAAUGUAUUUUUUUCAUAAAGAAUUCAUAUUCACUUAGCUAUAUUGACUAAAUCUUCACUAAGUUAGUUAUAUUGACUAAUAAUGCAUUUGAAAAAAAAGGUUUUUGCAUUAUGAAAUCAGAAUUUCAGUUAGGCAUUGGGGUUACUUAUGGAGAAAAAUGAAACUUUAAGUCUAAUUUCAGUCACUUUUUAAAGCAUUUACGGCAUCUCCCUUUUUAAAUCACAAAAGUUUAAAAUAUAUAU
rnacentral:misc_RNA from 1 species